rnacentral:lncRNA from 1 species
CUGCCUCAGCCUCCUGAGUAGCUGGGAUUACAGGUGCAUGCCACAACACCCGGUUCAUUUUUGUAUUUUUAGUACAGACGGGAUUUUGCCAUGUGGGCCAGCUGGUCUCGAAUUCCUGUCCUCAAGUGAUCUGCCCGCCUUGGCCUCCCAAAGUGCUGGGAUUACAGAUGUGAGAGCAUGCAUACAACUUCAGUAAACACAUGGCGCAUGUCCCCCUCCCAGGUGCUAGCAGGCCAUUGCGAAUGUGGACAGCCCAUCCCAAGGGAAGAAUCGGGGAAAAGGGAUAAAAGACCCCAGAAGUAUGUCAACUUAUAAAACCCCAAAGUCAAAUUACCCACUUGUCUUGCAAGUCACCCACUUGGCUCUCUUCAAGUGUAUUUCUCUUCCUUUUGUUUCUGCUCUAAAACUUUUAAUAUAGUUUUACUCCUGCUCUAAAACUUGCCUCAGUCUCUCCUUCUGCCCUAUGUCCCUCAGUUGAAUUCUUUCUUCUGAGGAGGCAAGAAUUGAGGUUGCUGCAGACUCAUACAGAUUCGCCCCAGUAACUUGGAUACUGGCCACUGGUAACAUAUUUUGGUGCCGUGGGACUUGGAUAACUUCUGCCACUAACAUACUUUGAUGCUGCAUGACUCAGAUAUGUUCCCUAGUGGUAAGAGACCCCUCUACCACACCUUCUUUGGCUGGAGGCAUUCAAUCCUUGUACAUGGUGGUCUUCUCCUUUUCUCUCUCCUGCUUGCUAACCAACCCCCAGAAUAAGUCCUUCAGCCAUAAGUGACUCUGCUCCUCUUGGCUGAUUUCUCAGUUCACUCUGAUGGAUGGCUUCCAGGGGUGGGAA